rnacentral:rRNA from 1 species
AAAACAUGUCUUCUUGAUAAUAUUUUGAAGUCUGGCCUGCUCACUGAUUUUAUUUUUGAAGAGCCGCGGUAUUUUGACCGUGCAAAGGUAGCAUAAUCAUUAGUUUUUUAAUUGGAUGCUGGAAUGAAUGGUUUGACGAGAAAUUAACUGUCUCUUAAUAAAUUAUAAAAUUUAACUUUUAAGUUAAAAGGCUUAAAUAUAUCUUUAGGACGAGAAGACCCUAUAGAGCUUAACAUUAAAAGUUUUUUGUGUUUUAUCUUGUUUAUCUUUCUAUAAUAAAUUUUAAUGUUUGGUUGGGGUGACAUAAAGAAUAAAUAAACUCUUUAUUAUAAAAUCAUUAAUUUAUGUUUAUUUGAUCCAUAAUUUAUGAUCAUAAGAUUAAGUUACCUUAGGGAUAACAGCGUAAUCAUUUUUGAGAGUUCAUUAUCAAUAAAAUGGGUUGCGACCUCGAUGUUGGAUUAAGAAUAAUAUUGGGUGUAGUAGCUAAUAAUUAGGUCUGUUCGCCUUU